UUUAUAUGAGAGUUUGAUCCUGGCUCAGGAUGAACGCUGGCGGCGUGCCUAAUACAUGCAAGUCGAACGAGUUUUGGUCGAUGAACGGUGCUUGCACUGAGAUUCGACUUAAAACGAGUGGCGGACGGGUGAGUAACACGUGGGUAACCUGCCCUUAAGUGGGGGAUAACAUUUGGAAACAGAUGCUAAUACCGCAUAAAUCCAAGAACCGCAUGGUUCUUGGCUGAAAGAUG
rnacentral:rRNA from 1 species